rnacentral:lncRNA from 10 species
AGUCGUGUGAGCCUUGCUUCACACUGCAGUGGGACUGGCUGUCCUCCCUCCGUGGUAGAGACCAAGGAGACUAAUGAUGCACCUAAGUUAAUUCACUCGACUCUGGGACUAUGAGGCAGUUCAUCCACACGCUCCAAACUCCAGCUUAUUGUAGGAGACCAGUGCCUCGAUCUCAUGAGGUCAUCUCGACGCCUCAGCUGUAACCCUUGGAGAACCUGUGGUCUCUGCUCCUCUGCCUGCUGACAUGAUCAUCCCAGGUGCAAAACAGACAUUCUACAGAAACAAAAAGAAGCGACCACCAAAAGGAGGGAAAAACCAGGAGCGCACACGUUUCUGACAAGGUCUUCUCUGGAAAUGAGUCAGGUGUGCUCAUGAACUGAGUGAAAAACCACCACACCCAGCUCGCUAAGAGAUGCAUCUCAGAGCAAUCAUAACUUUUUAUGUCCAACAAUUAUCAAAGUAUGUAAUGUAUCCUAAUUGCUUGAUGUGAACAAGUGAUAAUUAUGAUAAUAAUUCCAUCCAACAAGUAAUGAUUAUGGCCUUAUGGUCACCGGAAGUUAAAAAGAAAAGACCUUUAAAAUAUUUCCAAGAUUAAAUGACGUUAGGACAGAAUUCUGGGGUGACGGGCGGACAAAUGGAAUGUAAAUAUCAGCUCGAGGAGGAAAAGGAAGGAUGUAAAGCUAAGAAGAACUUGUUCCAGAAAUGUUUAACUGGGCAGUGGUAAGUAUCAAAUUGCCACAAUACUUAGAUAUCAUAGGAUUAUGUAAUACUUUUAUUUUAAAAUAAAUAUGCUAAAAACUUAUUUUGUACAGCUUUGAAUUAAUGAGAAAAACUUUAGGUGACAACUUAAAAAUGUGUAGGGGAAACAUGAUUUUUCAAAAAUUAUCUUAGGGAUUCAUGAGCAAAAACUACUUGAGGACAGAUGGCCCAGUGUCCUCUGUCUUGGCAUGACUUGGCAAGGUCCCCUCACAUAAAGGCCACUUUAUAAUGAGACUUUCUCUCUUUGGCCACCAAAUUGCUCCUUAAAAUAUUUGAAAGCUGUGGGUCUUAGGUAGAAACUUGCCUGAUGCAGCCAUGUUAAGACCUAGGGCUGAAGUUAGGCACCAGGCUGCUUUCGAAAUUUUUUUUCUUUUAACAUUUACUUUCCUUCAUCAUCUUUUUACAUUUUUAGUCUUUUUGGUUCUGCCCCAUAUGAUCUGCAGGAAAGAGCUGGCUUUUAUCUCCAGGUCUGAAAUGGGUUUGUGCAUUUGCUGGACGGCCCCAACCUUGGUGGUGGCUCCACGGCUGUGAUGGGGCAGCUGCCCGCUGUGUCCUGGCCACUGUUUCUGAGAGCCAGGGCUUUGCCCAGUUGGCCUGCAGGGUGAGAGGCAUGAGGACCUACUCUCCAGACACCCACCCAGUCGCCUGCUGCUGCACCCAAGGAGGCAGCGGGGCUGUUCCUUCUUUGUUAGGACUGGACAAGACCCAGGUUUUGAGGGCCACAGGCUGUAGGAUUCUGUAUGAUGCUUCGCCACCCCAGCAAGUGCCACACCUCCCUGGACUGGAUUGAGAUGGCAGCUCUUCGGCCCCUUUCCAGGUGCAUCUCUCCCUGCAGGGCCUGCAGAGGCAGCCCCUCAUUGGAGGCCCCCCUGCUGGUCCAGACUCUCAUCCUUUCCACCAUGGCCCCCAGCAGCCCUCCUGUCUGCAACCUGGGGUCCUUCCAUCCAUUCUCUGCACAGCGACCAGAAGCUUUUCGAGAGGGACGUCUGACAGUGCUCCUCCUGGGUCCUGCAGGAUGGCGGGCAAACUCCUUGGCGUGUAGCGUGACAGUGACAUGUGGGCCCUCUGGAAUGCCAUGCUCCUGAUGUCUCUCCAUGUGUGGGCGCCCUGUGCUUGAUGGAAGGGGAGCUGUGGGCACAGCCUUGACAGUCUAGGAGGGGGUGCCUCAGGGAGAAGGUGGGGCAGGGGUGCGCCCAGCAGCACUGGUGCAGGAACAGAGGCUGGAAACCAACUGCAUCUGGCGUUGCUUCAUGGACCCACCUGGGCACCACUGGUGGUAGGGGCUGUUUUUGCUUUCUUACAAAGACCCAAAUGAAGAGAGUAGGAGGUAGAGAAACCUAACUUUUGAUGCCAUAAAGGAGUGGGAACCAGGCUGCCUAGUGAUCCCAAGCUCCCACAUGCGCUUGCAGGCCGCUGUGGGGUGCUGUCAGCCAGUGUAGCCAGCUUCAACCCCGCCACACGCACGCUUUCUCUGCAUGGCUGUGGGGCUGCAUUGCAAGCCACACCGCAAUUUCGACUCCCACACGUCGAGUUGGCAUCCACGUCUCUAAGUGGGCCUGCCUUUCAUAUUUACAUUAAAGCCCGCAAUGUAUUCA